rnacentral:lncRNA from 1 species
UUUUCUUAUAAAACAAUAUUUAUAGAGUUAUACGUGAAUAAUUUUUAUAGCGUAAAAGCUAAAUAAAUUUAUACAUACUUAAAUACAGUAAGUCAAAAUAUUUAAUUUAAUUUACAAUAACAAGAGGGCCCCCGAAUAAACAAAAGUAAAGAGGACUGUGAACCUACGGUUUGAAAAAAUACAGAUCCAACGGUAGUCCUCGAUGAGAUCAGCUAUCUACAGUCUAUAUUGAAUCUGAAAUGGGUGGAAAGGAGGGUGGUGAGAUUAUAAAAUCCCAAUGAGUAAACAUACAUCAUCAUAAACAUCUAGAGUUGAGUACAUGGAGACAAUAAAGUAAAUCAUUAUAAACUGAGUUAUAGCAUUAGAACACAUUUUGUUCAAAACACGUAAAGAGGCUUAUGAAUCUCAUAAAAAUCUAGGUUUGUACCAUAAAUCCAUUCUCGGGGACACCUUGGCCGAGGCAUCCUACCGAGACCGCCAAGGCUAUUAAAAUUCACAUUUCACAUAAAUCAUGUUUUUGUUUUGAAAACAUAGCCGUUCCUUGACGUUGGUUGAGUUCCCCCUCACGUGGUGGUUUAGCGUGAAGUGAACCCUAAACUUGACCCCAAGAGAUACCCUACACGCCUCUUCGUUCGAGGUAAGAAUAUAAUGGGGUUUACCGUGCCCCUCUAAAAGGCUGGUCCACAGAAACCCCCUACUGCAGUGAUUAAUUAAUAUAUAAUCCACCAUAUAAUAAAACUCAAUAACAUGAUAUGGCAAUUUUGUAAUUCGUAGUUUUUCAAGGUAACCAAACAAUUCGCAUUUCAAUACAAUUGCCAACUAGCCAAUCAUGCUCGAUUUAUCAUAAGCCAGUUAAUUUAAACAAUCAAAUUGCCACAAUUAACAGUCUCCGUGUACUCUAUUUUUCAAAAUCACUAUUAAUUUCAAAACAAUUUAUAAUUUAAUUUCAUUGAAACUCAUUUAUUCAUAAAACAUGAAAAUUUAUCUUUUUAAAUUCCUUUUUCCAUAGAAUUCAUGAAAGCAUCUAAAAACCACCCUAGAUAAUUAAAAUGACAGUAAGUUUACUCACAAUGUCUAGAAUGCAGACUUUCGAAGCACUCUGUCU